UACGUAGGGUCCGAGCGUUGUCCGGAAUUAUUGGGCGUAAAGAGCUCGUAGGCGGCUUGUCGCGUCUGCUGUGAAAUCCCGAGGCUCAACCUCGGGUCUGCAGUGGGUACGGGCAGACUGGAGUGCGGUAGGGGAGAAUGGAAUUCCUGGUGUAGCGGUGGAAUGCGCAGAUAUCAGGAGGAACACCGAUGGCGAAGGCAGUUCUCUGGGCCAUAACUGACGCUGAGGAGCGAAAGCGUGGGGAGCGAACAGG
rnacentral:rRNA from 1 species